UGGCGCACGGGUGAGUAACGCGUGGGUAAUCUUCCUCCGAAUCGGGGAUAACAUUGCGAAAGCGAUGCUAAUACCGGAUGAUAUUCCGAAGUCUCUGGACUUUGGAAUCAAAGGUGGUCUCUCCAUGGAAGCUACCGUUUGGAGAUGAGCCCGCGUCCCAUUAGCUUGUUGGUAGGGUAACGGCCUACCAAGGCUACGAUGGGUAGCUGGUCUGAGAGGAUGAUCAGCCACACUGGAACUGACACACGGUCCAGACUCCUACGGGAGGCAGCAGUGAGGAAUUUUGCGCAAUGGGGGAAACCCUGACGCAGCAACGCCGCGUGAGUGAUGAAGGCCUUCGGGUCGUAAAGCUCUGUCAAGUGGGAAGAACCCAUCCUGUAAUAAUACGACGGGAUGCUGACGGUACCACUGAAGGAAGCACCGGCUAACUCCGUGCCAGCAGCCGCGGUAAUACGGAGGGUGCAAGCGUUAUUCGGAAUUACUGGGCGUAAAGGGCGCGUAGGCGGCUUUUUAAGUCGGAUGUGAAAGCCCGGGGCUUAACCCCGGAAGUGCAUUCGAUACUGAGAAGCUUGAGUAUGGGAGAGGGAAGUGGAAUUCCUGGUGUAGAGGUGAAAUUCGUAGAUAUCAGGAGGAACACCUG
rnacentral:rRNA from 1 species